GACAGAGGGUGCAAACGUUGUUCGGAAUUACUGGGCGUAAAGCGCACGUAGGCGGAUAUUUAAGUCAGGGGUGAAAUCCCGGGGCUCAACCCCGGAACUGCCUUUGAUACUGGGUAUCUCGAGUCCGAGAGAGGUGAGUGGAAUUCCGAGUGUAGAGGUGAAAUUCGUAGAUAUUCGGAGGAACACCAGUGGCGAAGGCGGCUCACUGGCUCGGUACUGACGCUGAGGUGCGAAAGCGUGGGGAGCAA
rnacentral:rRNA from 1 species